GACGGAGGGUGCAAGCGUUAUUCGGAUUUAUUGGGCGUAAAGAGCAUGUAGGCGGUCGGUCAAGUCUGAUGUGAAAUCCCGGGGCUUAACCUCGGAAGGGCGUUGGAAACUGGUCGACUUGAGUUCGGGAGAGGAAAGCGGAAUUCCGGGUGUAGAGGUGAAAUUCGUAGAUAUCCGGAGGAACACCGGUGGCGAAGGCGGCUUUCUGGACCGAAACUGACGCUGAGAUGCGAAAGCGUGGGGAGCAAACAGG
rnacentral:rRNA from 1 species